UACGUAGGGGGCAAGCGUUGUCCGGAUUUAUUGGGCGUAAAGAGCUCGUAGGCGGUGUGUCACGUCGGCCGUGAAAACCUGCAGCUUAACUGUGGGCGUGCGGUCGAUACGAGCAUCACUGGAGUUCGGCAGGGGAGACUGGAAUUCCUGGUGUAGCGGUGAAAUGCGCAGAUAUCAGGAGGAACACCGGUGGCGAAGGCGGGUCUCUGGGCCGAUACUGACGCUGAGGAGCGAAAGCGUGGGGAGCGAACAGG
rnacentral:rRNA from 1 species